GCCUGGGUGGCUCAGUCGGUUGAGCGUCCGACUUCAGCUCAGGUCAUGAUCUCAGAGUUUGUGAGUUCGAGCCCCGCGUCGGGCU
rfam:Felis catus isolate Cinnamon breed Abyssinian chromosome C2, whole genome shotgun sequence.